rnacentral:rRNA from 1 species
UACGUAGGGGGCUAGCGUUGUCCGGAAUCAUUGGGCGUAAAGCGCGUGUAGGCGGUCCGGUAAGUCCGCUGUGAAAGUCGGGGGCUCAACCCUCGAAAGCCGGUGGAAACUGUCGGGCUAGAGUACGGAAGAGGCGAGUGGAAUUCCUGGUGUAGCGGUGAAAUGCGCAGAUAUCAGGAGGAACACCAAUUGCGAAGGCAGCUCGCUGGGACGUUACUGACGCUGAGACGCGAAAGCGUGGGGAGCGAACAGG